ACGACUCUCAUCAACGGAUAUCUUGGCUCUUGCAAUGAUGAAGAACACAUCGAAAUUUGAUGCGUAGUGUAAAUUGCAGAAUUCCGCGAAUCAUCGAGUCUUUGAACGCAAGUUGCGCCCACAGCUCAUCCAAGCGAAUGCAUUCCUUUGUGUCCCU
rnacentral:rRNA from 1 species